rnacentral:rRNA from 1 species
AGUGAACGCUGGCGGUAGGCCUAACACAUGCAAGUCGAACGGCAGCACAGUAAGAGCUUGCUCUUACGGGUGGCGAGUGGCGGACGGGUGAGGAAUACAUCGGAAUCUACUUUUUCGUGGGGGAUAACGUAGGGAAACUUACGCUAAUACCGCAUACGACCUACGGGUGAAAGCAGGGGAUCUUCGGACCUUGCGCGAUUGAAUGAGCCGAUGUCGGAUUAGCUAGUUGGCGGGGUAAAGGCCCACCAAGGCGACGAUCCGUAGCUGGUCUGAGAGGAUGAUCAGCCACACUGGAACUGAGACACGGUCCAGACUCCUACGGGAGGCAGCAGUGGGGAAUAUUGGACAAUGGGCGCAAGCCUGAUCCAGCCAUACCGCGUGGGUGAAGAGGGCCUUCGGGUUGUAAAGCCCUGUUGUUGGGAAAGAAAAGCAGCAGGUUAAUACCCCGCUGUUCUGACGGUACCCAAAGAAUAAGCACCGGCUAACUUCGUG